rnacentral:rRNA from 1 species
UACGAAGGGAGCUAGCGUUGUUCGGAAUCACUGGGCGUAAAGCGCACGUAGGCGGAUUCCUAAGUCGGUGGUGAAAUCCUGGAGCUCAACUCCAGAACUGCCUCCGAUACUGAGAGUCUUCGAGUCCGGGAGAGGUGAGUGGAACUGCGAGUGUAGAGGUGAAAUUCGUAGAUAUUCGCAAGAACACCAGUGGCGAAGGCGGCUCACUGGCCCGGUACUGACGCUGAG